GUUUGUCCUUCAGAUCAGGUCUACUCUUCAGUUCUAUCGGCCAGUUUCAUGACUCCUAGUUCUGGCUCACUCCAGACUUCUGCCCACGGCUCAGCCCUGCCCAGCUGGUAGUUUUGGAAUUACUGCUUUAUUGGAAACAAGAGCAAGAAUGAAUUGGGACACAGCUCAGAAGCACUGUUCAGCAGAUCAUCAUCGUCCUUUGUCCUGUGCACCAUAGCAGCAAUCUCCAAACUGUUGCUGUCCCUGAGAUCCGGAAUGUCAUUGGAUAAGAUGUCGUGGACUAUCACUGGCUCCACACCUUGUGUGUUCCACUUGGUUCCAGAAAAGUCAAGCAUCCUUUUCACUGAACUGCAGAGGAACCAAAUUGAUCAUCAGAUGGAGAUCUGAAUGGAUAAGGACAGACUACUUUGCUGGGGAGCACCUCAAGUUGAUGCUGUCUUAAACACCCUAUAAGCAAGCUCUGGAACAGAAAGCAGAUCUGAUACCUUCUUCUUGCCCUAAAACAGCAAAGGCAG